rnacentral:rRNA from 1 species
UACGUAGGGUGCAAGCGUUGUCCGGAAUUAUUGGGCGUAAAGAGCUCGUAGGCGGUUUGUCGCGUCGAAUGUGAAAACCCGGGGCUCAACCCCCGGGCCUGCAUUCGAUACGGGCAGACUAGAGUUCGGUAGGGGAGUCUGGAAUUCCUGGUGUAGCGGUGAAAUGCGCAGAUAUCAGGAGGAACACCGGUGGCGAAGGCGGGUCUCUGGGCCGUAACUGACGCUGAGGAGCGAAAGCGUGGGGAGCGAACAGG